GACGAACGCUGGCGGCGUGCUUAACACAUGCAAGUCGAACGGAAAGGCCCUGCUUUUGUGGGGUGCUCGAGUGGCGAACGGGUGAGUAACACGUGAGUAACCUGCCCUUGACUUUGGGAUAACUUCAGGAAACUGGGGCUAAUACCGGAUAGGAGCUCCUGCUGCAUGGUGGGGGUUGGAAAGUUUCGGCGGUUGGGGAUGGACUCGCGGCUUAUCAGCUUGUUGGUGGGGUAGUGGCUUACCAAGGCUUUGACGGGUAGCCGGCCUGAGAGGGUGACCGGCCACAUUGGGACUGAGAUACGGCCCAGACUCCUACGGGAGGCAGCAGUGGGGAAUAUUGCACAAUGGGCGGAAGCCUGAUGCAGCGACGCCGCGUGCGGGAUGACGGCCUUCGGGUUGUAAACCGCUUUCGCCUGUGACGAAGCGUGAGUGACGGUAAUGGGUAAAGAAGCACCGGCUAACUACGUGCCAGCAGCCGCGGUGAUACGUAGGGUGCGAGCGUUGUCCGGAUUUAUUGGGCGUAAAGGGCUCGUAGGUGGUUGAUCGCGUCGGAAGUGUAAUCUUGGGGCUUAACCCUGAGCGUGCUUUCGAUACGAGUUGACUUGAGGAAGGUAGGGGAGAAUGGAAUUCCUGGUGGAGCGGUGGAAUGCGCAGAUAUCAGGAGGAACACCAGUGGCGAAGGCGGUUCUCUGGGCCUUUCCUGACGCUGAGGAGCGAAAGCGUGGGGAGCGAACAGGCUUAGAUACCCUGGUAGUCCACGCUGUAAACGGUGGGUACUAGGUGUGGGGUCCAUUCCACGGGUUCCGUGCCGUAGCUAACGCUUUAAGUACCCCGCCUGGGGAGUACGGCCGCAAGGCUAAAACUCAAAGGAAUUGACGGGGCCCCGCACAAGCGGCGGAGCAUGCGGAUUAAUUCGAUGCAACGCGUAGAACCUUACCUGGGUUUGACAUGGAUCGGGAGCGCUCAGAGAUGGGUGUGCCUCUUUUGGGGUCGGUUCACAGGUGGUGCAUGGCUGUCGUCAGCUCGUGUCGUGAGAUGUUGGGUUAAGUCCCGCAACGAGCGCAACCCUUGUUCACUGUUGCCAGCACGUUAUGGUGGGGACUCAGUGGAGACCGCCGGGGUCAACUCGGAGGAAGGUGGGGAUGACGUCAAGUCAUCAUGCCCCUUAUGUCCAGGGCUUCACGCAUGCUACAAUGGCUGGUACAGAGAGUGGCGAGCCUGUGAGGGUGAGCGAAUCUCGGAAAGCCGGUCUCAGUUCGGAUUGGGGUCUGCAACUCGACCUCAUGAAGUCGGAGUCGCUAGUAAUCGCAGAUCAGCAACGCUGCGGUGAAUACGUUCCCGGG
rnacentral:rRNA from 1 species